rnacentral:tRNA from 1 species
UGAUCUGUGGCUUAAUCGGUUAAAGCGCCGGACUCGUGGGUUACGGAGUCGUGGGUUCGAAUCCCACCAGAACGC